rnacentral:misc_RNA from 1 species
GAUGAAGAACGUAGCGAAAUGCGAUAAGUAGUGUGAAUUGCAGAAUUCAGUGAAUCAUCGAAUCUUUGAACGCACAUUGCUCCCCUUGGUAUUCCAUGGGGCAUGCCUGUUCGAGCGUCAUUUGUACCCUCAAGCUUUGCUUGGUGUUGGGCGACGUCCUCUUUGGGGACGCGCCUCGAAACGCUCGGCGGCGUGGCACCGGCUUUAAGCGUAGCAGAAUCUUUCGCUUUGGAAGUCGGGGCCCCGUCUGCCGGAAGACCUGCUCGCAAGGUUGACCUCGGAUCAGGCAGGGAUACCCGCUGAACUUAAGCAUAUCAAUAAGCGGAGGA